rnacentral:rRNA from 1 species
UACGUAGGGUGCAAGCGUUGUCCGGAAUUAUUGGGCGUAAAGAGCUCGUAGGCGGUCUGUCGCGUCUGCUGUGAAAACUCAGGGCUUAACCCUGAGCUUGCAGUGGGUACGGGCAGACUAGAGUGCGGUAGGGGAGACCGGAAUUCCUGGUGUAGCGGUGAAAUGCGCAGAUAUCAGGAGGAACACCGGUGGCGAAGGCGGGUCUCUGGGCCGGUACUGACACUGAGGCGCGACAGCGUGGGGAGCAAACAGG